GCUUUUGCGGGGAUAGAGCAACGGUUUCCUAAACCGCAGGUCGCAUGUUCGAUUCAUGCCGGGGGCACCA
rnacentral:tRNA from 1 species